ACCAGGCCUUGACAUGCAGAGAACUUUCAGAGAUGGAUUGGUGCCUUCGGGAACUCUGACACAGGUGCUGCAUGGCUGUCGUCAGCUCGUGUCGUGAGAUCGUUGGGUUAAGUCCCGUAACGAGCGCAACCCUUGUCCUUAGUUACCAGCACGUUAUGGUGGGCACUCUAAGGAGACUGCCGGUGACAAACCGGAGGAAGGUGGGGAUGACGUCAAGUCAUCAUGGCCCUUACGGCCUGGGCUACACACGUGCUACAAUGGUCGGUACAAAGGGUUGCCAAGCCGCGAGGUGGAGCUAAUCCCAUAAAACCGAUCGUAGUCCGGAUCGCAGUCUGCAACUCGACUGCGUGAAGUCGGAAUCGCUAGUAAUCGUGAAUCAGAAUGUCACGGUGAAUACGUUCCCGGGCCUU
rnacentral:rRNA from 1 species